AUUGAACGCUGGCGGCAGGCCUAACACAUGCAAGUCGAACGGUAACAGGAAGAGGCUUGCUUCUUUGCUGACGAGUGGCGGGCGUGUGAGACAUGUCUGUGAAACUGCCUGAUGGAGGGGGAUAACUACUGGAAACGGUGGCUAAUACCGCAUAACUUCGCAAGACCAAAAAGGAGGACUGUCAGGCCGUUUGCCUUCCGCUUUUCCCUGAUGGGAUUAGCUAGUAGGUGGGGUAACGGCUCACCUAGGCGACGAUCCCUAGCUGGUCUGAGAGGAUGACCAGCCACACUGGAACUGAGACACGGUCCAGACUCCUACGGGAGGCAGCAGUGGGGAAUCUUGCGCAAUGGGCGCAAGCCUGAUGCAGCAAUGCCGCGUGUAUGAAGAAGGCCUUCGGGUUGUAAAGUACUUUCAGCGGGGAGGAAGGGAGUAAAGUUAAUACCUGCACUCAUUGACGUUACCCGCAGAGGAAGCACCGGCUGACUCCGUG
rnacentral:rRNA from 1 species